rnacentral:hammerhead_ribozyme from 1 species
AUUCAGCUGAGUAGUCUUAAAUAGGACGAAAUGUGCAUUCUGGAU